rnacentral:rRNA from 1 species
UACGGGGGGAGCAAGCGUUGUUCGGAUUUACUGGGCGUAAAGGGCGCGUAGGCGGCCAGCACAAGUCAGUUGUGAAAUCUCCGAGCUUAACUCGGAAAGGUCAACUGAUACUGUGCGGCUAGAGUGCGGAAGGGGCAACUGGAAUUCUUGGUGUAGCGGUGGAAUGCGCAGAUAUCAGGAGGAACACCAACGGCGAAGGCAGCUCGCUGGGACGGUACUGACGCUGAGGCGCGAAAGCGUGGGGAGCGAACAGG